AACUUCCUACGGGGGGCAGCAGUGGGGGAUAUUGCACAAUGGGGGAAACCCUGAUGCAGCGACGCCGCGUGUGGGAAGACGGUUCUCUGGAUUGUAACCCACUGUCCCCAGGGACGAAGAUGACGGUACCUGGGGAGGAAGCUCCGGCUAACUACGUGCCAGCAGCCGCGGUAAUACGUAGGGAGCAAGCGUUGUCCGGAAUUACUGGGUGUAAAGGGAGCGUAGCCGGGAUGGCAAGCUGGGUGUUAAAUCUACCGGUUCAACUGGUAGUCGCACUCAAAACUGCUAUUCUUGAGUGUGGUAGA
rnacentral:rRNA from 1 species